rnacentral:rRNA from 1 species
AAGGGGAGCAAUCCCUGAGUAUAGUGGCGACCGGGUGAGCAACACGUGACUACCUGCCCUUGAGUGGGGGAUAACCUCGGGAAACCGAGGCUAAUACCGCAUAAUAUCGCAAGAUCAAAGGAGCAAUCCGCUUUUGGAGGGGGUCGCGGCUGAUUAGCUAGUUGGUGAGGUAAUGGCUCACCAAGGCGAAGAUCGGUAUCCGGCCUGAGAGGGCGCACGGACACACUGGAACUGAAACACGGUCCAGACUCCUACGGGAGGCAGCAGUGGGGAAUUUUGCGCAAUGGGGGAAACCCUGACGCAGCAACGCCGCGUGGAGGAUGAAGCCCCUUGGG